rnacentral:lncRNA from 1 species
AUGCUACAACAUCUACGCACUGCACUAUUCCAAUUUUGCUUAGCUAAUGAUGUAUUUACUUGCUACAUCAUUAGAAGAAUGGCAUCUACGCUAAUAUUUGUCUGUUUCUCUCUUGUUCCGAGGUCACCGUGGCCACCAGAUCCAGUCUGUGUCCAGAUCAGAGGGUCACUGCAGUCACCCGGAUCCAGUACGUAUCCAGACCAGAUUGAGCGUAGAUGCCAUUCUUCUAAUGAUGUAGAAAGUACGGUGUUAUGUGAAGUGUUUCCGGUUCCAGUUUACCUAAUUAAUGCAGCCUAAAAAUCCUUUAACGGAUUUGGAUAUUAAAAGCAUAUUAGUAUGUUAUGUGUAUGCCAGGUUAAAGAGAUGGGUCUUUAAUCUAGAUUUAAACUGCAAGAGUGUGUCUGCCUCCCGAACAAUGUUAGGUAGGUUAUUCCAGAGUUUAGGCGCCAAAUAGGAAAAGGAUCUGCCGCCCGCAGUUGAUUUUGAUAUUCUAGGUAUUAUCAAAUUGCCUGAGUUUUGAGAACGUAGCGGACGUAGAGGAGUAUAAUGUAAAAGGAGCUCAUUCAAAUACUGAGGUGCUAAACCAUUCAGGGCUUUAUAAGUAAUAAGCAAUAUUUUAAAAUCUAUACGAUGUUUGAUAGGGAGCCAGUGCAGCGAUGACAGGACCGGGCUAAUAUGGUCAUACUUCCUGGUUCUAGUAAGAACUCUUGCUGCUGCAUUUUGGACUAGCUGUAGUUUGUUUACCAAGCGUGCAGAACAACCACCCAAUAAAGCAUUACAAUAAUCUAACCUUGAAGUCAUAAAUGCAUGGAUUAACAUUUCUGCAUUUGACAUUGAGAGCAUAGGCCGUAAUUUAGAUAUAUUUUUGAGAUGGAAAAAUGCAGUUUUACAAAUGCUAGAAACGUGGCUUUCUAAGGAAAGAUUGCGAUCAAGUAGCACACCUAGGUUCCUAACUGAUGACGAAGAAUUGACAGAGCAACCAUCAAGUCUUAGACAGUGUUCUAGGUUAUUACAAGUAGAGUUUUUAGGCCCUAUGAUUAACACCUCUGUUUUUUCAGAAUUUAGCAGUAAGAAAUUACUCGUCAUCCAAUUUUUUAUAUCGACUAUGCAUUCCAUUAGUUUUUCAAAUUGGUGUGUUUCACCGGGCUGCGAGGAAAUAUAGAGCUGCGUAUCAUCAGCAUAACAGUGAAAGCUAACACCAUGUUUCCUGAUGAUAUCUCCCAAGGGUAACAUAUAAAGCGUGAAGAGUAGCGGUCCUAGAACUGAGCCUUGAGGUACUCCAUACUGCACUUGUGAUCGAUAUGAUACAUCUUCAUUCACUGCUACGAACUGAUGGCGGUCAUAUAAGUACGAUUUAAACCAUGCUAAUGCACUUCCACUGAUGCCAACAAAGUGUUCAAGUCUAUGCAAAAGAAUGUUGUGGUCAAUUGUGUCAAACGCAGCACUAAGAUCCAAUAAAACUAAUAGAGAGAUACACCCACGAUCAGAUGAUAAGAGCAGGUCAUUUGUAACUCUAAGGAGAGCAGUCUCAGUACUAUGAUACGGUCUAAAUCCUGACUGGAAAUCCUCACAUAUACCAUUUUUCUCUAAGAAGGAAUUUAAUUUUGAGGAUACCACCUUUUCUAGUAUCUUGGACAGAAAAGGGAGAUUCGAGAUUGGUCUAUAAUUAACUAGUUCUCUGGGGUCAAGUUGUGGCUUUUUUAUGAGAGGCUUAAUAACAGCCAGUUUGAAGGUUUUGGGGACAUGUCCUAAUAACAAUGAGGAAUUAAUAAUAGUCAGAAGAGGACCUAUGACUUCUGGAAGCACCUCUUUUAAGAGCUUAGAUGGUAUAGGGUCUAACAUACAUGUUGUAAGUUUAGAUGAUUUAACAAGUUUAUACAAUUCUUCCUCUCCUAUAGUAGAGAAUGAGUGGAACUGUUCCUCAGGGGGUCUAUAGUGCACUGUCUGAUGCGAAACUGUAGCUGACGGCUGAAUGGUUGCAAUUUUAUCUCUAAUAGUAUCGAUUUUAGAAGUAAAGUAGUUCAUAAAGUCAUUACUGCUGUGGUGAUGGGAAAUGUCAACACUUGUUGAGGCUUUAUUUUUCGUUAAUUUAGCCACUGUAUUGAAUAAAUACCUGGGGUUAUGUUUGUUUUCUUCUAAAAGAGAAGAAAAGUAAUCAGAUCUAGCAGUUUUUAAUGCUUUUCGGUAGGAUAUGCUACUUUCCCGCCAAGCAAUACGAAAUACCUCUAGUUUUGUUUUCCUCCAGCUGCGCUCCAUUUUUCGGGCUGCUCUCUUUAGGGUGCGAGUAUGCUCAUUAUACCAUGGUGUCAAACUGUUUUCCUUAACCUUUCUUAAGCGUAAAGGAGCAACUGUAUUUAAAGUGCUAGAAAAGAGAGAGUCCAUAGUUUCUGUUACAUCAUCAAGUUGUUCUGAGGUUUUGGAUAUGCUAAGGAAUUCGGAUACAUCAGGAAGAUAACUUAAAAAGCUGUCUUUUGUGGUAGAAGUGAUGGUUCUUCGAUACUUGUAACAAGAAGUAGAAUUUACAAUUUUGGCUAUAUGAAGUUUACACAGAACUAAAUAAUGAUCUGAGAUAUCAUCACUUGGCUGAAUAAUUUCAGCACUAUCAACAUCAAUUCCAUGUGACAGUAUUAAAUCUAGAGUAUGAUUUCGACAAUGAGUAGGUCCUGAAACGUGUUGUCUAACACCAAUAGAGUUCAGAAUGUCUAUAAAUGCUGAUCCCAAUACAUCUUUUUCAUUAUCGACAUGGAUAUUAAAAUCACCAACUAUUAAGACUUUAUCUGCAGCCAGAACUAACUCGGAUGUAAAAUCACCAAACUCUUUAAUAAAGUCUGUAUGGUGCCCUGGUGGCCUGUAUACAGUAGCCAGUACAAACAUAACAGGGGAUUUAUCAUUAACAUUGGUUUCUCUGGAUAAUGUUAUAUGAAGCACCAUUACUUCAAACGAGUUAUACUUGAAGCCUGCCCUCUGAGAAAUCCUGAAAACGUUGUUAUAAAUUGAAGCAACACCUCCCCCUUUGCCUUUUAGACGCGGCUCGUGUUUAUAACAAUAAUCUUGGGGGGUGGACUCAUUUAAAAUAAUGUAAUCAUCAGGUUUUAGCCAGGUUUCUGUCAAGCAGAGCACAUCUAUAUUAUGAUCAGUUAUCAUAUUAUUUACAAAAAGUGUUUUCGUAGAAAUGGAUCUGAUAUUCAAUAAGCCAAUCUUUAUCAUUUGUUUAUCCAUAUUGCAUUUGUUUUUUAUUUGUUGAACCUCAAUUAAAUUGUUAACCUUAACUUGGUUUGGACGUUUUUUGUAUUUUCUAGUUCGUGGAACAGACACAGUCUCUAUAGUGUGAUAUCUAGGUGAAAGAGUCUCUAUGUGCUGAGAAUUAACUGACCUCUGUGACGGGAGGCAGCUAGCAGACGGUCGGUUUAGCCAGUCUGUCUGCUUCCUGACCUGGGCCCCAGUUAGUCAAGUAUAAACACUAAGACUAUUUGCCAUAUUUCUAGACAGAAGAGUGGCGCCACCCCAGGAGGGAUGAAGACCAUCUCUUUUAAACAGGUCAGGUCUGCCCCAAAAGCUCGUCCAAUUGUCUAUAUAACCUAUGUUAUUCUGUGGGCACCACUUAGACAUCCAGCCAUUGAGUGAUGACAAUCUGCUAUGCAUCUCAUCACCACGGUAAGCAGGGAGGGGACCAGAGCAUAUUACAGUGUCUGACAUCGUGCUUGCAAGUUCACACACCUCUUUAAAGUUAUUUUUAGUGAUCUCCGACUGGCGAAGUCGAACAUCAUUAGCGCCGACAUGAAUAACAAUCUUACUGUAUUUACGUUUAGCAUUAGCCA